rnacentral:rRNA from 1 species
UACAGAGGUCCCGAGCGUUGUUCGGAUUCAUUGGGCGUAAAGGGUGCGUAGGUGGCGCUGUAAGUGGGGUGUGAAAUCUCGGAGCUUAACUCCGAAACUGCAUUCGAUACUGCCGUGCUUGAGGACUGGAGAGGAGACUGGAAUUUACGGUGUAGCGGUGAAAUGCGUAGAUAUCGGGAGGAACACCAGUGGCGAAGGCGGCUUCCUGGCCUGUUCUUGACGCUGAGGCGCGAAAGCUAGGGGAGCAAACGGG